GAACGCUGGCGGCGUGGCUAGGACAUGCAAGUCGUACGGACCAUCGUAGCAAUAUGGUGGUUAGUGGCGGAUGGAUGAGUAAUGCAUAGAUAACAUGCCCUUGUCUCUGGGAUAGCUGCGGGCUUCGGCCCUUUGCGAAAGUGCAGGUAAUACCAGAUGAUAUCCUAAGGUCGUAUGACCUUGGGAUCAAAGCUCCGGCAGACAGGGAGUGGUUUAUGUCGUAUCAGUUAGUUGGCGGGGUAAUGGCCCACCAAGACUUCGACGCGUAGCAGGACUGAGAGGUUGGCCUGCCAUAUCGGGACUGAGACACUGCCCGGACCUCCACGGAGGGCUGCAGUAACGAAUAUUGCGCAAUGAACGAAAGUUUGACGCAGCGACGCCGCGUGUAGGAUUAAGCCCCUCGGGGUGUAAACUACUGUUAGAGUGAAGAAAGAUCUGAUCGAUCUCAGAGGAAGCCACGGCUAACUUCGUGCCAGCAGCCGCGGUAAUACGAAGGUGGCAAGCGUUGUUCGGAAUCACUGGGCUUAAAGCGCGUGUAGGCGGAUUAUUAAGUGCUUUGUGAAAUCCCUCGGCUUAACCGAGGAACGGCAGGGCAUACUGGUAAUCUUGAGGCAGACAGGGGUGCAUGGAACUCUGGGUGGAGCGGUGAAAUGCGUAGAUAUCCAGAGGAACGCCAGCGGUAAAAACGGUGCACUGGGUCUGUUCUGACGCUGAGAUGCGAAAGCGUGGGUAGCGAACGGGAUUAGAUACCCCGGUAGUCCACGCUGUAAACGAUGCCUACUAGAUCGUGGAAGUUCUGACACUUUCACGGUCGUAGCAAAAGUGCUAAGUAGGCCGCCUGGGGAGUACGGUCGCAAGGCUAAAACUCAAAGGAAUUGACGGGGGCUCACACAAGCGGUGGAGCAUGUGGCUUAAUUCGAAGCAACGCGAAGAACCUUAUCCUAGGUUUGACAUAUAUGGAUGCCCUUUCUGAAAGGGAAGUAAGCUGCCUUCGGGUGAAACAUAAACAGGUGCUGCAUGGCUGUCGUCAGCUCGUGUCGUGAGAUGUCGGGUUAAGUCCCUUAACGAGCGAAACCCUUAUCGUUAGUUGCCAGCGGGUCAUGCCGGGGACUCUAGCGAGACUGCCGGUGUUAAACCGGAGGAAGGCGGGGAUGACGUCAAGUCCUCAUGGCCUUUAUGCCUAGGGCUGCACACGUGCUACAAUGGUGUGGACAAAACGACGCAAGACCGCAAGGUGGAGCAAAUCGUAAAAACCGCACCCCAGUACGGAUUGUGGGCUGCAAUUCGCCCGCAUGAAGUUGGAAUCGCUAGUAAUCGCAGAUCAGCACGCUGCGGUGAAUAUGUUCCUGAGCCUUGUACACACCGCCCGUCAAGUCAUGGGAGCCGGAAGUACCUGAAGUCGGGCUAACACCUGCCGAUGGUAAGUUCGGUGACUGGGGCUAAGUCGUAACAAGGUA
rnacentral:rRNA from 1 species